GAUAAACGCUGGCGGCAUGCCUAAUACAUGCAAGUCGAACGCUCUCGAUCUUCGGAUCAAUGAGAGAGUGGCGAACGGGUGAGUAACACGUAAGAAACCUGCCCCAAAGACGAGGAUAACUAUUGGAAACGAUAGCUAAUACUGGAUAGGACAUAAGACCACAUGGUCUAAUGUUUAAAGGGUGCGAUUGCACCGCUAUGGGAUGGUCUUGCGCUGCAUUAGCUAGUUGGUAAGGUAACGGCUUACCAAGGCGACGAUGCAUAGCUGGUCUGAGAGGAUGAACAGCCACACUGGGACUGAGACACGGCCCAG
rnacentral:rRNA from 1 species